rnacentral:lncRNA from 1 species
UUUAGGGUUUCUCUUCUUUUGGGUGAGUAGCCGAAAAAGAGAGAGGAGGAGAGAGAGAGGUGAGUCGAUCAGGUGAGAAGGAAGAGAGGAGAUUGUCGCGCGGGGGAAGCCGAGAGGAAGAAAGAAAGAGAGGAAAAGAAGAGGGAGAUCGGAGAAGGAGAAGGGAAAGGAAGAAGGAGGCCAGAGAAGGAGAAGGGAAAGGAGAAAAAAAAAGAGUGGCCGAGUAAGAAAGUAAAGCGAGAGCCGAGAACGGCUACCGCAAGGGGAGAAAAAGG